AGUAACACGUGGAUAACCUACCUAUAAGACUGGGAUAACUUCGGGAAACCGGAGCUAAUACCGGAUAAUAUUUUGAACCGCAUGGUUCAAAAGUGAAAGACGGUCUUGCUGUCACUUAUAGAUGGAUCCGCGCUGCAUUAGCUAGCUGGUAAGGUAACGGCUUACCAAGGCAACGAUGCAUAGCCGACCUGAGAGGGUGAUCGGCCACACUGGAACUGAGACACGGUCCAG
rnacentral:rRNA from 1 species